GUGCAGCAGUCGCGCAAACUUUGCAAUACACGAAAGUGUGACAGGGCUAUCCCGAGUGCCGUCCGCUGAGGGUGGCUUUUACCCAGUCUAUAAAGCUGGGAGAAUAAGGAGAGGGCAAGUCUGGUGUCAGCCGCCGCGGUAAUACCAGCUCUCCGAGUGGUGUGGAUGUUUAUUGGGCCUAAAGCAUCCGUAGCUUGCCAAGCAAGUCCCCUGUUAAACCCACCGAAUUAAUCGUUGGAUUGCGGGGGAUACUGCUCGGCUAGGGGACGGGAGAGGCCGACGGUAUUUCCGGGGUAGGGGUGAAAUCCUAUAAUCCUAGGGGGACCACCAGUGGCGAAGGCGUUCUGCGAGAACGGGCUCGACGGUGAGGGACGAAAGCCAGGGGCGCAAACGGGAUUAGAUACCCCCGUAGUCC
rnacentral:rRNA from 1 species